rnacentral:lncRNA from 1 species
ACCAUUUCUUCCAGAUCAUCCAUGCUUUCAAAAGUGUCCUCUUCUGUCUCUUCCAUGAUACCAGCCUUCAUAAUCUCUUUGGACAAUUCCUGUCUGGUGCCCUGGAUUGACGAGAUCUUCACAAGACUCUGAAUGGCCUUUGUCACUUCUGUGCUCUUUUGCAGGGAAAGAUUCAGCCACUUUCAAACCACCAGCUGGUUCUUCAUCUGCACAAGCACAGAGUUCAUGUGAGCUUUGGAUGCAUAAAGCCUGCUCACAGCCUUCCUUGACCUAUCCUCUCAUUAGCCAGAACCACACAGACAUCCUUCUGGCCCUUCUUGGCAGCAUCUUUCACAGAUUAUUUCAUUCUUUCUUUUUCUCGUUUUCUCUUUGGAUAUCUCUUAUUUGCCUAUCUGCAGCUCUCAUUUCCCUUUCUAAUCAACAAGAUCAACAUACAAAAAUCAGUUGCAUUUCUAUACACUAACAAGGAACUAUUUUAAAAUGAAAUAAAGACACCAUCUCCCCACCUCAGCAUGUAGAAUAGCAUUAAAAAGAAUAGUAUCUUAGGAAUAAAUUUAACCAAGGAGGUAAAAUAUCUGCAUUCUUUCAAACUAUAAAACAUAGAUGAAAGAAACUAAAGAAAACACAAGUAAAUGAAAAGAUAUUCUGUAUUCAUGGAUUAGAAGAUCUAAAACACUGUUAAAAUGUCCAUACAAGUCGAAGUGAUCUACAGAUUCAGUGCAAUCCCCAUUAAGAUUUGGAUGGCAUUAUUUAUGGAAAUAGAAAAAAAAAGUCCUAAAAUUGAUAUGGAAACAUGAAAGACCCUAAAUAACCAAAGCAAUCUUGAGAAAGAGAACUAAGCUGAACUUAUUACACUUCCUGAUUUCAAAUUUUAUCACAAAGCUAGGGUAAUAAAAAUAAAUAGGCAUAAAAACAGAUACAUAGACCACUGGAACAGAAUUUAGGACUCAGAAAUAAACCCACGCAUAUAUAAUCAACUAGUAUUUGACAAAGGAGCUAAUAAUACUCAAUGGAGAAAAGAAAGUCUCUUCAAUAAAUGGAGUUGGGAAAACUAGAUAGUCACAUGCAGAAGAAUGAACUAGACCCUUAUCUUACACUACUCACAAAAAAGUAACUAGAGAUGGAUUAAAACUUAAAUGUAAGACCUGAAACUAAAGGUUCUAGAAGAAAACAUAGAGGGGUAAGCUCCCUGACAAUGGCAGUAGCAAUGAUUUUUUUUUUUUUGGAAUUUGGCACCAAAAGCACAAGUAACAAAAGCAAAAAUAAACAAGUGGUACUACAUCAGACUAAAAAACUUUGGCACAGUCAAAGAAGUAAUAAAAAAAUGAAAAGGCAAUCUAUGGAAUGGAAGAAAAUAUUGGUAAACCGUGUAUCUGGUAAGACGUUAAUGUCCAAAAUACAUAAGAACGUCAAACUCAAUACAAAAUCCAACAAACAAACAAACAAAACCCAAAUUAGCCAAUUAAAAAUGGUUAAAGGACCUGGAUAGAUACUUUCCCAAGGAAUAUUUACAAAUGGCCAACGGGUACGUGGAAAGAUCUUCCACGUUUAUCAUACUAAUCAUCAGGGAAAUGCAAAUCAAAACCACAAGGCAACAUCACCUCACAUAGAUCAGAAUGGCUAUUA